UUCCAGUGCCAGCAGCCGCGGUAAUACUGAAGGUGGCAAGCGUUAAUCGGAAUCACUGGGCGUAAAGCGCUCGUAGGUGGCCGUUGUAAGUCAAGGUGUGAAAGCCCACGGACUCCGAACCGUUACGGAAAGUUAGCACUUGUAUAACUGCAUCGCUAGAGUAUAGGAGGAGGGAAGUGGAAUUUCUGGUGUAGGAAGUGAAAUCCGUAGAGAUCAGAAGGAACACCGUGGCGAAGGCGACCUUCCUGGAACUAUUACUGACACUGAGGAGCGAAAAGCGUGGGGAGCAAACAGGAUUAGAUACCCUGGUAG
rnacentral:rRNA from 1 species